rnacentral:rRNA from 1 species
AGAACGAACGCUGGCGGCAUGCCUAACACAUGCAAGUCGAACGAGACCUUCGGGUCUAGUGGCGCACGGGUGCGUAACGCGUGGGAAUCUGCCCUUAGGUUCGGAAUAACUCGGAGAAAUCCGAGCUAAUACCGGAUGAUGACGUAAGUCCAAAGAUUUAUCGCCUAAGGAUGAGUCCGCGUAGGAUUAGCUUGUUGGUGAGGUAAAAGCUCACCAAGGCGACGAUCCUUAGCUGGUCUGAGAGGAUUGAUCAGCCACACUGGGACUGAGACACGGCCCAGACUCCGUACGGGAGGCAGCAGGUGGGGAAUAUUGG